rnacentral:rRNA from 1 species
AUGGUUUAUGUUUCAAAUGAUUUAUCGCCAUAGGAUGGGACUGCGGCCUAUCAGUUUGUUGGUGAGGUAAUGGCCCACCAAGACUAUUACAGGUACGGGCUCUGAGGGGAGUAGCCCGGAGAUGGGUAUUGAGACACGGACCCAGGCCCUAUGGGGCGCAGCAGGCGAGAAAACUUUGCAAUGUGCGAAAGCACGACAAGGUUAAUCCGAGUGGUUUCUGUUAAAGAAACCUUUUGUCAGUCCUAGAAACACUAACGAAUAAGGGGUGGGCAAGUUCUGGUGUCAGCCGCCGCGGUAAAACCAGCACCUCAAGUGGUCAGGAUGAUUAUUGGGCCUAAAGCAUCCGUAGCUCGUUUUGUAAGUUUUCGGUUAAAUCCAUGCGCUUAACGUAUGGGCUGCCGGGAAUACUGCAUAACUAGGAAGUGGGAGAGGUAGACGGUACUCGGGAGGAAGGGGUAAAAUCCUUUGAUCUCUUGAUGACCACCUGUGGCGAAGGCGGUUUACCAGAACACGUUCGACGGUGAGGGAUGAAAGCUGGGGGAGCAAACCGGAUUAGAUACCCGGGUAGUCCCAGCUGUAAACUAUGCAAACUCAGUGAUGCAUUGGCUUAUGGCCAAUGCAGUGCUGCAGGGAAGCCGUUAAGUUUGCCGCCUGGGAAGUACGUACGCAAGUAUGAAACUUAAAGGAAUUGGCGGGGGAGCACCACAAGGGGUGAA